CUCCUCUCAGAGUCGCAUCUGGAGAGUUUCCAGUACUCUACCAGUCUCGACUAUGGGAAGGAGAGUCAAGUAGAGACAUAUCCAUUUCAUUCCUAACUUGGGCAGUGACUAGUGAGUGGAAGACAAUCUACUCCAAGU